rnacentral:rRNA from 1 species
GGCCGCGGGAAUUCGAUUACUGCUCAGUAACACGUGGACAAUCUGCCCUGAAGUGGAGAAUAAUCCCGGGAAACUGGGGGUAAUACUCCAUAGUUCGUUAUUACUGGAAUGUUUUUCGAACGAAAGAUCCGUCGCUUCAGGAUGAGUCUGCGGCCGAUUAGGUAGUUGUUGGGGUAAUUGCCCAACAAGCCUGUAAUCGGUACGGGUUGUGGGAGCAAGAGCCCGGAGAUGGAUUCUGAGACACGAAUCCAGGCCCUACGGGGCGCAGCAGGCGCGAAAACUUUACCAUGCGGGCAACCGUGAUAAGGAAACCCCGAGUGCCAGCACAGGCUGGCUGUCCGCCAGUUUAAACAACUGGCGAAGAAAGGGCCGGGCAAGACCGGUGCCAGCCGCCGCGGUAAUACCGGCGGCUCGAGUGGUGGCCGCUAUUACUGGGCUUAAAGGGUCCGUAGCUUGAUAAUAGGGUCCCUUGAGAAAUCCGCCGGCUUAACUGGCGGGCGUUCAGGGGAAACUUGUUUUCUAGGGACCGGGAGAGGUGAGGGGUACUGCCGGGGUAGGAGUGAAAUCCUGUAAUCCCGGUGGGACCACCUAUGGCGAAGGCAUCUCACCAGAACGGGUCCGACAGUGAGGGACGAAAGCUGGGGGAGCAAACCGGAUUAGAUACCCGGGUAGUCCUAGCUGUAAACUAUGUGCGUUAGGUGUGUCAGUGACCACGUGUCACUGANGUGCCGAAGGGAAACCGUGAAACGCACCGCCUGGGGAGUACGGUCGCAAGGCUGAAACUUAAGGAAUUGGCGGGGGG